CGACAGCAGUGAUGAUGACGACAGCAUGUCGUUUUGCUGACUGUAUGUGAUGCUUUUAAGUCACUACCUCAUCUGAGCUGUCA
ensembl:snoRNA